GAGUUUGAUUAUGGCUCAGGACGAACGCUGGCGGCGUGCCUAAUACAUGCAAGUAGAACGCUGAAGGAGGAGCUUGCUUCUCCGGAUGAGUUGCGAACGGGUGAGUAACGCGUAGGUAACCUGCCUGGUAGCGGGGGAUAACUAUUGGAAACGAUAGCUAAUACCGCAUAAGAGUAGAUGUCGCAUGACAUUUGCUUAAAAGGUGCAAUUGCAUCACUACCAGAUGGACCUGCGUUGUAUUAGCUAGUUGGUGGGGUAACGGCUCACCAAGGCGACGAUACAUAGCCGACCUGAGAGGGUGAUCGGCCACACUGGGACUGAGACACGGCCCAGACUCCUACGGGAGGCAGCAGUAGGGAAUCUUCGGCAAUGGACGGAAGUCUGACCGAGCAACCGCCGCGUGAGUGAACGAAGGUUUUCGGAUCGUAAAGCCUACUGUUGUANGAGAAGAACGAGUGUGAGAAGUGGGAAGUUCACCNCUGUANCG
rnacentral:rRNA from 1 species